AUAUUUAAAAUUUAAUUACUUAUAAAAUACAAUUAAACUAAUAAAUUAAAAGUUAAAAUUUAAUUACUUAUAAAAUAAACUAAAAACUUAGAAAUAAAAAAUAGGCCCUAAACGGACGCCGAUGUUUGUUUGUCCCUGAAACGGGUGUCGAAAUUCGUCGACAGAUGUGCGACAUCCGGUUUAAGCCUGGACGUCUUCUUCCUCUUACCCACCCAGAAACAUCAACAACAACGAAACAAAAAAUCGUGCACAGUAGAAAUCAACACAAUCUUAAACCCUAUAUUACAUACAUUUUCAAAGGAAGCAGAAAUCAACACAAACUAUACCAUGCUGAACGAAAGAAACUAACGUCUCCUAGACAGCAGAAACGAAACUAUAACGAAACUACAAAACAACAACCACCACGCCGCGCUGUCGCACAUACCCGUCGCACCGCUGCACCGCCGAACCGCCAAACCGUUGCACACCAAAAGUUAAAAGCACAGGAAGAUGAGUGGGAAAGUUGGAAUUUUGGAAAAUGAAACUUGGAGCGUGGGGUGAGAAGAAUCAGAGAAGGGGAGGAGGUGGAGAGCCGUGGGGGAGAUGGGGCUGCCUUGAAAGGGAAAGUAAAAUCUGAAUGAAGUGGAAAGUUAAAUGUUAGGGUUAUUUAAUAAAUAGGGUUAAAAAAGUAAAAAAAAAAUAAUAAGAAAAGGUUAUUUUGGUGAUUAAAGAAAAAUAAAAAAAAAAUGGGGAGGUGUAGGUUUGAAAUGGGGAGGUUGAGAGAUCAAUGCCCAAAAUAGGUUAGGUUGAACUGACCUAUCACUUAAUAACGAAUUGACUUUUACAACCCGAUCUGUCAAUUUAUCGGAGUGCAUUAUCAAGCGGGUUGCCUAACUGGAGAGAGACUGCAUUUGAAUAAUUUAUCGCUUCUUAAAAUAUAACAUUAGUGUCUGCAUAUGAAUUUUCCAUUAAAU
rnacentral:lncRNA from 1 species